rnacentral:rRNA from 1 species
AGUGAACGCUGGCGGUAGGCCUAACACAUGCAAGUCGAACGGCAGCACAGUAAGAGCUUGCUCUUACGGGUGGCGAGUGGCGGACGGGUGAGGAAUACAUCGGAAUCUACUUUUUCGUGGGGGAUAACGUAGGGAAACUUACGCUAAUACCGCAUACGACCUACGGGUGAAAGCAGGGGAUCUUCGGACCUUGCGCGAUUGAAUGAGCCGAUGUCGGAUUAGCUGGUUGGCGGGGUAAAGGCCCACCAAGGCGACGAUCCGUAGCUGGUCUGAGAGGAUGAUCAGCCACACUGGAACUGAGACACGGUCCAGACUCCUACGGGAGGCAGCAGUGGGGAAUAUUGGACAAUGGGCGCAAGCCUGAUCCAGCCAUACCGCGUGGGUGAAGAAGGCCUUCGGGUUGUAAAGCCCUCUUGUUGGGAAAGAAAAGCAGCAGGUUAAUACCCCGCUGUUCUGACGGUACCCAAAGAAUAAGCACCGGCUAACUUCGUG